AUACGGAGGGUGCAAGCGUUACUCGGAAUCACGGGGCGUAAGGCGCGCGCAGGCGGCUAUUUAAGUUGGAUGUGAAAGCCUACGGCUCAACCGUAGAACUGCAUCCAAAACUAUUUAGCUAGAGUGUGGGAGAGGAAGAUGGAAUUAGUUGUGUAGGGGUAAAAUCCGUAGAGAUAACUAGGAAUACCAAAAGCGAAGGCAAUCUUCUGGAACACUACUGACGCUGAGGCGCGAAAGCGUGGGGAGCAAACGGGAUUAGAAACCCUAGUAGUCC
rnacentral:rRNA from 1 species